rnacentral:rRNA from 1 species
AUUGAACGCUGGCGGCAGGCCUAACAAAUGCGAGUCGAACGAGAGGCGGACGGGUGAGUAAUUUCUGGGCACCUGCCCCAUGGACGUGGAUAACUUCUGGAAACAGUAGCUAAUACCCCAUACCAUCGGAUUUGCCCAGAUGGGCUUAGCUUUUAGGUGAGUUAACGGCUCACCUAGGCGACGGUCUCUGGCUGGUCUGAGAGGUUGACCAGCCACACUGGAACUGAGACACGGUCUAGAUGACUACGGGAGGCAGCAGUGGGGAAUAUUGCACAAUGGGCGUAAGCCUGAUGCAGCCAUGCCGCGUGUAUGAAGAAGGCCUUCGGGGUGUAAAGUACUUUCAGCGGGGAGGCUUUACCCGCAGAAGAAGCACCGGCUAACCCCGUGCCAGCAGCCGCGGUAAUAC